CAAAGCCAAACGUCUAAUUUUUCGAGAGAUCGAAAGAGCGGGGGACCCGUUCGUUAGGGGUGAAUGGAUUCGGAAGCGUUUCCUAGGGUAACUCUUGGCCCGAACCCGACAGCUAACCCCGUAGACGCAGCGAGAGUCGGG
rfam:Armatimonadetes bacterium 55-13 SCNpilot_expt_500_bf_scaffold_116, whole genome shotgun sequence.